rnacentral:rRNA from 1 species
AGUGAACGCUGGCGGUAGGCCUAACACAUGCAAGUCGAACGGCAGCACAGUAAGAGCUUGCUCUUACGGGUGGCGAGUGGCGGACGGGUGAGGAAUACAUCGGAAUCUACUUUUUCGUGGGGGAUAACGUAGGGACACUUACGCUAAUACCGCAUACGACCUACGGGUGAAAGCUGGGGAUCUUCGGACCUUGCGCGAUCGAAGGAGCCGAUGUCGGAUUAGCUAGUUGGCGGGGUAAAGGCCCACCAAGGCGACGAUCCGUAGCUGGUCUGAGAGGAUGAUCAGCCACACUGGAACUGAGACACGGUCCAGACUCCUACGGGAGGCAGCAGUGGGGAAUAUUGGACAAUGGGCGCAAGCCUGAUCCAGCCAUACCGCGUGGGUGAAGAAGGCCUUCGGGUUGUAAAGCCCUUUUGUUGGGAAAGAAAAGCAGCAGGUUAAUACCUCGCUGUUCUGACGGUACCCAAAGAAUAAGCACCGGCUAACUUCGUG